GACGAACGCUGGCGGCGUGCUUAACACAUGCAAGUCGAACGGAAAGGCCCUGCUUUUGUGGGGUGCUCGAGUGGCGAACGGGUGGGUAACACGUGAGUAACCUGCCCUUGACUUUGGGAUAACUUCAGGAAACUGGGGCUAAUACCGGAUAGGAGCUCCUGCUGCAUGGUGGGGGUUGGAAAGUUUCGGCGGUUGGGGAUGGACUCGCGGCUUAUCAGCUUGUUGGUGGGGUAGUGGCUUACCAAGGCUUUGACGGGUAGCCGGCCUGAGUGGGUGACCGGCCACAUUGGGACUGAGAUACGGCCCAGACUCCUACGGGAGGCAGCAGUGGGGAAUAUUGCACAAUGGGCGGAAGCCUGAUGCAGCAACGCCGCGUGCGGGAUGACGGCCUUCGGGUUGUAAACCGCUUUCGCCUGUGACGAAGUGUGAGUGACGGUAAUGGGUAAAGAAGCACCGGCUAACUACGUG
rnacentral:rRNA from 1 species